rnacentral:sRNA from 1 species
GUAUGACAUCAUCCAGGAGCUCUGAUAACUAGUUGGCGGAGUAUGUAUCUAUCUAUCCACUUUGGUUUUCCGACCUCGCAGCCUCUGGCUACAUGUCACCAGAUAUGCCCCAAAGCAAAUGGGGGCUUGAAUAUAAAUAAAUGAUAUAUUUGCGUGAGUGUCCGCCGUUCACUGCGUGCGGCGGCGGCGGAGGACGGAUGCUGAUUACUCCCUGUCGUCGAAUGGGGUGGUACAAAGGGACGAUGAUUGCCCGGCUCAGCAUGGGGUUGUGGUAUAAUGUUACACGCUUUUGUUUUGCACUGCUCCCAAUAGAGCUCACGAAGAUAAUAUUUCCC